CCUCCCUCCUUCCCUCCCUCCUUCCCGCUGCCGCCGCCGGAGCGGAACCGAAAGCGAAGGCGGCGCCGGGCAGCGGCGCUCCGGCCCAGCGCGGCGGGGGCUGCGGGGGCUGCGGGGUCCCGGGGUCGCUCCCCGCCAGGUUUGGGUACCUGAGUUCUGCACAAAAAGCCACAGGGCAAGGAGCAGAAAUCACCAGCAAUGAUGGACUGUGGGAGGAAGCAGUGAGCCAGGGGGCUGGUCCUGCACCCCAUGCUUGGCACAUCUCCCCAGCACAGCAUGGCCAGGAUGAGGCCAUCGGUCCCUCCACGCCGCCACGUGUCCCCAGCAGCUCGCCCGCCCCACAGCCCCUGUGCAGCGCCGGAGGCUGCGGCCGCCGAGCCCCCGCGGCCCUGCGGGACCCCCCGGCGCUGAGC